UACGUAGGGUGCAAGCGUUGUCCGGAAUUAUUGGGCGUAAAGAGCUCGUAGGCGGUCUGUCGCGUCGGCUGUGAAAUCCCGAGGCUCAACCUCGGGUCUGCAGUCGAUACGGGCAAACUAGAGUAUUGCAGGGGAGAGUGGAAUUCCUGGUGUAGCGGUGAAAUGCGCAGAUAUCAGGAAGAACACCCGUGGCUAAGGCGGCUCUCUAGUACGGUACUGACGCUGAGACGCGAAAGCGUGGGGAGCGAACAGG
rnacentral:rRNA from 1 species